rnacentral:rRNA from 1 species
UACGAAGGGAGCUAGCGUUGUUCGGAAUCACUGGGCGUAAAGCGCACGUAGGCGGAUUUGCCAGUCAGGGGUGAAAUCCCGGGGCUCAACCUCGGAACUGCCUUUGAUACAGCAAGUCUUGAGUUCGAGAGAGGUGGGUGGAAUUCCUAGUGUAGAGGUGAAAUUCGUAGAUAUCCGGAGGAAUACCAGUGGCGAAGGCGGCACGCUGGGCCAUAACUGACGCUAAGACGCGAAAGCAUGGGUAGCGAACGGG